GCGGCCCCGGCUUUCGCUCAAGCUUCCGUGCCGGCUGCCCCGCCGUCCCCCUGUCCCCGGGACAAACCCCUUGACGCUGCUCGCUAGUCCUCCAGCUCGCGCGACUAGUGUCGUUUUCCUUCUUCGGGAGGAGCCCGGGGCGGGGGAAGGGGACCCUGGAACCCUGGGCUCAGCCGGUCACGCUGUCUACGGCCAGCGUGUGAGGGACGGGCACCGGGAAGGCGGCCCGGGGCAGCCGGCAGUGACUGGGAUCAGGCGGUCAGCGCGGUGCCUUCAAGGUCGACACUGGGGGAGAUUUUUCUCCCAUCACACGGUUGUCUGUGCGGAAAGCUUUGAGACUGGGGUGUCCUGCUGCUGAAUUCCACGGGAUGCUGAGGCUAUUGACGGAGGACGUUGCCAGGCAACCCGGACUCCUCCAUUUACUUUAACUUCUACCCUCUUUAUUAAACUUUAAUGUGGAAAAAGAUAUUAAGCAAAUUACCUUCCUUUCUUUUCGUGCCUAUCCUCACGUGUAAAAAUACCAGUGAGCAGAUAAAUGAUCAAAAGCCCAGCAAGAGUCAGGCCUUAGUGGUGUGGACCGAAUAGGCUAUGGACCGAAUAAUCUGCCCGUUAAUUGCAAAGAACCGGCGAAUUUCAGCAUAUCAAGCGCAGGGCAUUUCUGAACUCUUUAGCAUGUUUCCCAACUGGAGCAGCCUUUGGGAAGCUCCAAUGUGGCCAUAUGAAUCACAGUCAUACUGACAAGUGUUGCUAAUGGAAACACUAAAGGAUUUAAACAAAGAUUCAAAAGGGGAUAAGAAAUGGUGCCUUCUAUCUUCGUUGUUUCCACUGUUAGCUGAGUGCUUUGAAAAUCCGAAUUGUUCUGUCCGUGCAUAACAUCUGUUUGACUGAAACCUGGGGAGCUCGUUUCUCCUCUCUUAGAGUCUGCCUGCCUUUCAUCAUCUUCAGCUGAAAUCCCAACAUCUGGGCCUAAUUUCGGCCCUGAGGUGCCCUCCACGUUGUCUGAUGCAAGUCGAUCGCCGUCUGGGGAUGCUGGCGUGCUUGUGCUGGGUGGCAGGCGAAGGCUGCCCUGACGCUCUGGGACCAGGUGCGUUCUUUGGUCCUUCUCUUCCUUCACACGGAAGGAACCAACUUUUUUCCUGAACCCUGUCCCUGGUGGCAUGCAGCGGGAAGUAUCCUCAUACAACUCCUCCCCGUUGAAAAGAUACCUGUACAUGCUGUAGCCAUCGGCACUGUUGAUGCUGCUUUGCCUUAGAAGGUAUGUUGCAUCGCAUUCAGAAGAAGCCCGGGACCGGGUCUGUAUCAGGUCGGACUUGUCGAUUCCUGCGAGGUUUUCCAGCGCAUUCACCAUUCUGCUAGAUAGUUCUUCCAGUUGGGAAAGGCGAAGGUCAACAGUCUGCAGGGAAGUUUUCAUAAAGUUUUCUCUUUCGUUGAUUUCUUCCAACCUCAUGGACAUAUUUUCAACUCUGGCGGAUACAAAGGGAUAGGUUUAUUAC